UACAGAGGGGGCAAGCGUUGUUCGGAAUUACUGGGCGUAAAGCGUGCGCAGGCGGUUUGCUAAGACAGGUGUGAAAUCCCCGGGCUUAACCUGGGAACUGCGCUUGUAACUGGCAAGCUAGAGUGUGGCAGAGGGGGGUGGAAUUCCACGUGUAGCAGUGAAAUGCGUAGAGAUGUGGAGGAACACCGAUGGCGAAGGCAGCCCCCUGGGCUAACACUGACGCUCAUGCACGAAAGCGUGGGGAGCAAACAGG
rnacentral:rRNA from 1 species